AUUGAACGCUGGCGGCAUGCCUAACACAUGCAAGUCGAGCGGAUGCAGGACGCUUGCUCCUGUCUUGUGCCGCAGGCGGGUGUGUUGUAACUAAAAGUGUCCCGUCUCGGGGGGUAUCACAUCGCUAGAGUAGCUCUUAUACCAUACCCGCUCUGAAUGCAAACGGGGGGGAUCAACGGACCUCGCGCUUUGAGCUGCCGCUAUGUCGGAUUAGCUAGUUGGUGGGGUAAAGUCCUACCAAGGCAACUAUCCAUAGCUGGUCUGAGAGGAUGAUCAGCCACACUGGAACUGAGACACGGCCCAGACUCCUACGGGAGGCAGCAGUGGGGAAUAUUGGACAAUGGGCGAAAGCCUGAUCCAGCAAUGCCGCGUGCGGGAAGAAGGUCUUCGGAUUGUAAAGUGCUUUUAUUCGGGACGAAGCGCCGUUGGUUAAUACCUGGGGCUAUUGACGGUACCAAAAGAAUAAGCACCGGCUAACUACGUG
rnacentral:rRNA from 1 species